rnacentral:rRNA from 1 species
UUCAGAGGAACCUGUCCUAUAAUUGAUGGUCCACGAUUUAAAUAACUUAUUUUAUUAGUUUACAUAUCGCCGUAGAUUGAAUAUUUUAAUAGAAAAAUCAUAUUCAAAAUUUUUAAAGCAAAAAUAAAUCAGGUCAAGGUGUAGCUUAUAAAUAAGAAGAGAUGGGUUACAAUAAAAAUAUUUAAAUGGAUAAUUAUUUGAAAUAUUAGUUUGAAGGUGGAUUUGAUAGUAAUUUUAAUAAAAUUAUUAAAAUGAUUUUAGCUCUAAAAUAUGCACAUAUCGCCCGUCAUUUUCAUUAUAAAAUGAAACAAGUCGUAACAUAGUAGGUGUACUGGAAAGUGUACCUAGAACGGCAAGUUAGAGCUUGUUAAAAAGCAUUUUAUUUACACUAAAAAGUUUAUUGUGAGAAUCAAUAUAACUUGAAUUUUUAUAAUUAUUUAAAUUUAAAAUUUUAAUUUAUUUAAAUAAAGUAAUUUAUAUUUUUAUUAUUAAAUUGAACCAAUUUUUUUUAUUAUAGUAAAUUAGUAUUGUGAAAGAAAUACAUAUAAAUAAUUAAAAGAAUAAUUAAUUUUUAAAAAACAUGGCCUUUUGAUUAUAAUUUAAGGUCUAACCUGCCCAAUGAAAUUUUCAAUGGCCGCGGUAUUUUGACCGUGCAAAGGUAGCAUAAUCAUUUGUUUUUUAAUUGAAAGCUGGAAUGAAGGGUUGAAUGAGAAAAUAACUGUCUCUGUUUAAUUUUUUUAGAAUUUUAUUUUUAAGUUAAAAAGCUUAAAUAUUUUUUGAAGACGAGAAGACCCUAUAGAGUUUAAUAUUUACGUUAUUUAAAUAAUUUGGUAAUUAUUUUUUUUAAGUUAAGUAUUUAUUUAAUUGGGGUGAUUAAAAAAUUAAUAAAACUUUUUUUGUAUAUAAUCAUUGAUUAAUGAAUUAUUGAUCCUUUAAAAGAUUAAAAGAUUAAAUUACCUUAGGGAUAACAGCGUAAUUUUUUUUUAGAGUUCAAAUCGAAAAAAAAGAUUGCGACCUCGAUGUUGGAUUAAAAUUAAUUUUUGGUGUAGAAGCUAAAUCUAUUGGGUCUGUUCGACCUUUAAAAUUUUACUUGAUCUGAGUUCAAACCGGUGUGAGCCAGGUUGGUUUCUAUCUCGAAAUAUAUAAAAUAUUUUAGUACGAAAGGAUCAAAUAUUUAAUUAAAAAUUUUAUAAAUGAAUAAUAUUAAUAGUUAUUUUGGCAGAAUAGUGCGAAAGAUUUAGAAUCUUUAUAUGUAAUUUUUACAAAUAAUACUUGAAAUUAUGUGAUUUAUUUUUAAUACUAGUCUCUAGUUUAAUUUUAGCUUUUUGUGUUAUAAUUGGAGUAGCUUUUUUAACAUUAUUAGAACGAAAGGUCUUAGGAUAUAUUCAAAUUC